rnacentral:pre_miRNA from 1 species
GAGAUACUCCCUCCGUCCGGAAAUACUUGUCAUUAAAAUGAAUAAAAGGGGAUGUAUCUAGAUGUAUUUUAGUUCUAUAUACAUCCUUUUUUAUUUAUUUUGAUGACAAGUAUUUUCGGACGGAGGGAGUAGAUA